rnacentral:rRNA from 1 species
UACGUAGGGUCCGAGCGUUGUCCGGAAUUAUUGGGCGUAAAGGGCUCGUAGGCGGUCUGUUGCGUCGGGAGUGAAAGCUUACAGCUUAACUGUGAGCGUGCUUUCGAUACGGGCAGACUUGAGGCAUUCAGGGGAGAACGGAAUUCCUGGUGUAGCGGUGAAAUGCGCAGAUAUCAGGAGGAACACCCGGUGGCGAAGGCGGUUCUCUGG